rnacentral:rRNA from 1 species
ACGAACGCUGGCGGCGUGCCUAAUACAUGCAAGUCGAACGAGAGCGACCGGUGCUUGCACUGGUCAAUCUAGUGGCGAACGGGUGAGUAACACGUGGGUAACCUGCCCAUCAGAGGGGGAUAACAUCCGGAAACGGAUGCUAAAACCGCAUAGGUCUUCGAGCCGCAUGGCUUGAAGAGGAAAAGAGGCGCAAGCUUCUGCUGAUGGAUGGACCCGCGGUGCAUUAGCUAGUUGGUGAGGUAACGGCUCACCAAGGCCGUGAUGCAUAGCCGACCUGAGAGGAUGAUCGGCCACAUUGGGACUGAGACACGGCCCAAACUCCUACGGGAGGCAGCAGUAGGGAAUCUUCCGCAAUGGACGCAAGUCUGACGGAGCAACGCCGCGUGAGUGAAGAAGGUUUUCGGAUCGUAAAACUCUGUUGUUAGAGAAGAACAAGUGCUAGAGUAACUGUUAGCGCCUUGACGGUAUCUAACCAGAAAGCCACGGCUAACUACGUG